rnacentral:rRNA from 1 species
AGAGUUUGAUUAUGGCUCAGGAUGAACGCUAGCGACAGGCUUAACACAUGCAAGUCGAGGGGCAGCAUAAAAGUAGCAAUACUUGGUGGCGACCGGCGCACGGGUGAGUAACGCGUAUGCAACCUACCUAUCAGAGGGGAAUAACCCGGCGAAAGUCGGACUAAUACCGCAUAAAACAGGGGCACCGCAUGGUGAUAUUUGUUAAAGAAAUUCGCUGAUAGAUGGGCAUGCGUUCCAUUAGGUAGUUGGUGAGGUAACGGCUCACCAAGCCGACGAUGGAUAGGGGAACUGAGAGGUUGGUCCCCCACACUGGUACUGAGACACGGACCAGACUCCUACGGGAGGCAGCAGUGAGGAAUAUUGGUCAAUGGGCGAGAGCCUGAACCAGCCAAGUCGCGUGAAGGAAGAAGGAUCUAUGGUUCGUAAACUUCUUUUGCAGGGGAAUAAAGUGCAGGACGUGUCCUGUUUUGUAUGUACCCUGAGAAUAAGGAUCGGCUAACUCCGUGCCAGCCGCGGC